UACGUAGGGGGCGAGCGUUGUCCGGAUUUAUUGGGCGUAAAGAGCUCGUAGGUGGUUUGGUAAGUCGGAUGUGAAAUCUCCAGGCUCAACCUGGAGGGGUCAUUCGAUACUGCCAUGACUAGAGUUCGGUAGGGGAGUGUGGAAUUCCUGGUGGAGCGGUGAAAUGCGCAGAUAUCAGGAGGAACACCCGUAGCGAAGGCGGCUCUCUAUCUCGAUUCUGACGCUGAGGCGCGAAAGCUAGGGGAGCAAACGGG
rnacentral:rRNA from 1 species